GUCUCCAUGGCUUAGUGGUUUGAGUGUUACACUACUACUCUAGAGAUCAAGGUUCUAUUUCCUGCUCAGAAA